rnacentral:rRNA from 1 species
GACGAACGCUGGCGGCGUGCUUAACACAUGCAAGUCGAACGGAAAGGCCCUGCUUUUGUGGGGUGCUCGAGUGGCGAACGGGUGAGUAACACGUGAGUAACCUGCCCUUGACUUUGGGAUAACUUCAGGAAACUGGGGCUAAUACCGGAUAGGAGCUCCUGCUGCAUGGUGGGGGUUGGAAAGUUUCGGCGGUUGGGGAUGGACUCGCGGCUUAUCAGCUUGUUGGUGGGGUAGUGGCUUACCAAGGCUUUGACGGGUAGCCGGCCUGAGAGGGUGACCGGCCACAUUGGGACUGAGAUACGGCCCAGACUCCUACGGGAGGCAGGAGUGGGGAAUAGUGCACAAUGGGCGGAAGCCUGAUGCAGCAACGCCGCGUGCGGGAUGACGGCCUUCGGGUGGUAAACCGCUUUCGCCUGUGACGAAGCGUGAGUGACGGUAAUGGGGAAAGAAGCACCGGCUAACUACGU